AUUGAACGCUGGCGGCAUGCCUUACACAUGCAAGUCGAACGGCAGCACGGGAGCAAUCCUGGUGGCGAGUGGCGAACGGGUGAGUAAAGUAUCGGAACGUGCACAGUCGUGGGGGAUAACGUAGCGAAAGUUACGCUAAUACCGCAUACAAUCUAUGGAUGAAAGCGGGGGAUCGCAAGACCUCGCGCGAUUGGAGCGGCCGAUAUCAGAUUAGGUAGUUGGUGGGGUAAAGGCUCACCAAGCCGACGAUCUGUAGCUGGUCUGAGAGGACGACCAGCCACACUGGGACAGAGACACGGCCCAGACUCCUACGGGGGGCAGCAGUGGGGAAUUUUGGACAAUGGGCGAAAGCCUGAUCCAGCCAUGCCGCGUGCAGGAUGAAGGCCUUCGGGUUGUAAACUGCUUUUGUACGGAACGAAAAGGUUUGGCCUAAUAAGCUGAGCUCAUGACGGUACCGUAAGAAUAAGCACCGGCUAACUACGUGCCAGCCGCCGCAGUAA
rnacentral:rRNA from 1 species